rnacentral:lncRNA from 1 species
AGAUAAUGCAUGAUACGAAACUGUCUACAUUUCAAAGCACCCAUCAGAUCUGACAUAGGCAUCUUUGUUACCCCUAAGAUGUAAUCUUUUUUAAUUAUUUACUGCUGCCAAAACCCUCAAAAGUUUUUUGCGUAUAUGUGUACCUGCCAGAUGAAAAAACUCAAAAUUUCACCCCUAAGAUGUAUAAAUUUUACACCCCUCAGAAAGGAC